rfam:Triticum aestivum genome assembly, contig: Triticum_aestivum_CS42_TGACv1_scaffold_224109_3B
GAACUACUCCCUCCGUCCAGAAAUACUUGUCGGAGAAAUGGAUAAAAAUGAAUGUACCUGGAACUAAAAUACGUCUAGAUACAUCCAUUCUUUCGACAAGUAUUUCCGUACGGAGGGAGUAUUAA